rnacentral:rRNA from 1 species
UACGAAGGGGGCUAGCGUUGUUCGGAAUUACUGGGCGUAAAGCGCGUGUAGGCGGGUCUUUAAGUCCGGGGUGAAAUGCCAAGGCUCAACCUUGGAACUGCCUUUGAUACUGGAGACCUUGAGUCCGGGAGAGGUGAGUGGAAUUCCCGGUGUAGCGGUGAAAUGCGCAGAUAUCGGGAAGAACACCCGUGGCGAAGGCGGCUCUCUGGGACGGUACUGACGCUGAGACGCGAAAGCGUGGGGAGCGAACAGG